UUCUUGAUCUUUCAGUCUCUUCCAUUGAACUCAACACAAAAUGCACAUGAAAGACCCCCUGAGUGGGGAGACCCUCACUCAAGUCUUAGGAUAAGCCAAUGCCCCAAUAAUUCAAGAGAGACC
rnacentral:pre_miRNA from 11 species